GUAGUCCACGCCGUAAACGAUGUCUACUAGCCGUUGGGAUCCUUGAGAUCUUAGUGGCGCAGCUAACGCACUAAGUAGACCGCCUGGGGAGUACGGUCGCAAGAUUAAAACUCAAAUGAAUUGACGGGGGCCCGCACAAGCGGUGGAGCAUGUGGUUUAAUUCGAAGCAACGCGAAGAACCUUACCAGGUCUUGACAUCCAGAGAAUCUUUCAGAGAUGAGAGAGUGCCUUCGGGAAUUCUGUGACAGGUGCUGCAUGGCUGUCCGUCCAGCUCGUGUCGUGAGAUGUUGGGUUAAGGUCCCGGUAACG
rnacentral:rRNA from 1 species